GGCGGGGUCAGGCGGGGUCAGUUAGCGCGGGAGCCGGGCGCGGAGGCUCCUGGGCUGCGGCUCGCCGGGAACGGAAGCCGCUGCGGGACGCGGAGGAAGCCAGGAUGGCGACUCCGAGCGGGAAGGCUGCUCCCCCCAACCCCCAGGUUUCCAAGCGGUCUCUCCCGAGAGAUGCUUCCUCCGAGGUCCCGAGCAAGAGAAAGAACUCGAACCCGUUGCCGACGCUGCCGCGGCCGUCCGGGACCUUCGUCGAGGGCUCAAUCGUCCGCAUCGCCAUGGAGAACUUCUUAACAUAUGACAUCUGUGAAGUGUCUCCUGGGCCCCAUCUGAACAUGAUCAUUGGAGCCAAUGGAACAGGGAAGUCAAGCAUCGUGUGUGCCAUUUGCCUCGGACUCGCAGGCAAACCUGCUUUCAUGGGACGUGCAGAUAAGGUUGGGUUUUUCGUGAAGAGAGGAUGUUCCAAAGGUUUGGUUGAAAUUGAACUGUUCAGGACUUCUGGAAAUCUUAUAAUCACCCGCGAGAUUGAUGUGAUAAAAAAUCAGUCCUUUUGGUUCAUCAACAAAAAGCCUGUAACCCAGAAGAUAGUGGAAGAACAGGUUGCAGCCUUAAACAUCCAAGUGGGCAAUCUGUGCCAGUUCUUGCCUCAGGACAAAGUUGGGGAAUUUGCUAAACUCAGCAAAAUUGAACUCCUUGAAGCUACUGAGAAGUCAGUUGGUCCUCCAGAGAUGCACAGAUACCACUGUGAACUCAAAAACUUCAGGGAGAAGGAGAAGCAGCUAGAGACCUCUUGCAAAGAGAAAACUGAAUACCUAGAGAAAAUGGUUCAGAGAAAUGAAAGGUACAAACAAGAUGUGGAAAGAUUCUAUGAACGAAAACGACAUUUAGAUUUAAUUGAGAUGCUUGAGGCCAAAAGACCAUGGGUGGAAUAUGAGAAUGUACGUCAGGAAUAUGAAGGUGUGAAACUAAUUCGUGACCGAGUGAAGGAAGAGGUCAGGAAACUUAAAGAAGGGCAGAUUCCUAUGACACGGCGGAUUGAGGAGAUUGACCGGCAGCGUCACACUUUGGAAGUUCGAAUCAAAGAAAAGUCAACCGAUAUUAAGGAAGCAUCUCAGAAAUGCAAGCAAAGGCAAGACUUGAUUGAACGGAAGGACAGACAGAUUAAGGAACUUCAGCAGGCAUUAACAGUCAAGCAGAAUGAAGAGCUGGACCGGCAGAAGAGAAUAAGUAACACCCGCAAGAUGAUAGAGGAUCUGCAGAGUGAGCUCAAGACUGCGGAAAACUGCGAGAACCUUCAGCCUCAGAUCGACACCGUCACAAAUGAUCUGAGGCGUGUGCAGGAGGAGAAAGCCUUAUGUGAAGGCGAGAUCAUUGAUAAACAGCGAGAAAAGGAAAUGCUGGAGAAGCAGAGACGGAGUGUGAGUGAUCAUAUUACACGGUUUGACAAUCUUAUGAAUCAGAAGGAAGAUAAGCUGAGACAGCGGUACCGGGAUACGUAUGAUGCAGUCUUGUGGCUGAGAAAUAACAGAGACAGGUUUAAACAAAGAGUCUGUGAACCCAUAAUGCUCACGAUUAAUAUGAAAGAUAAUAAAAAUGCAAAAUAUGUUGAAAAUCAUAUUUCAUCAAAUGACUUAAGAGCCUUUGUGUUUGAAAGUCAAGAAGAUAUGGAGAUUUUCCUCAGAGAGGUUCGUGACAACAAGAAGUUAAGAGUAAAUGCUGUUAUUGCCCCCAAGAUCUCAUAUGCAGACAAAGCCCCUUCAAGAUCUCUGAAUGACUUAAAACAAUAUGGAUUUUUUUCAUAUCUUCGGGAGUUAUUUGAUGCACCUGAUCCUGUGAUGAGUUACCUUUGCUGCCAGUAUCAUAUUCAUGAGGUUCCUGUGGGAACUGAAAGGACCCGAGAAAGAAUUGAACGGGUAAUACAAGAAACUCGAUUAAAACAAAUUUAUACAGCAGAAGAAAAGUAUGUGUUAAAAACUUCUGUGUAUUCAAAUAAAGUUAUUUCUAGUAAUACAUCCCUGAAAGUAGCCCAGUUCCUCACUGUUACUGUGGAUCUAGAGCAAAGAAGACACUUGGAAGAGCAGCUAAAGGAAAUGAAUAGACAACUGGAAGCAGUGGACUCAGGGUUGGCUGCCUUGCGUGAUACGAACAGGCACCUUGAGCUCAAAGACAACGAGCUAAGGCUGAAGAAGAAGGAGCUUCUUGAAAGAAAAACCAGGAAAAGGCAGCUGGAGCAGAAAAUCAGCUCCAAGCUGGCAAGUAUAAGGCUGAUGGAACAGGAUACUUGCAAUCUGGAAGAGGAAGAACGAAAAGCAAGUACCAAAAUAAAAGAAAUAAAUGUUCAGAAAGCAAAACUUGUUACUGAAUUAACAGGCCUUGUAAAGAUAUGCACUUCUUUUCAAAUUCAAAAAGUUGAUUUGAUUCUUCAAAAUACUACAGUGAUCUCUGAGAAGAACAAGUUAGAAGCAGAUUACAUGGCGUCAUCUUCCCAGCUGCGCGUCACAGAACAACAAUUCAUUGAAUUGGAUGACAACAGACAGAGAUUGUUACAGAAGUGCAAGGAACUUAUGAAGAAAGCUAGGCAAGUAUGCAACCUGAGUGCUGACCAAGCUGUUCCACAAGAAUUCCAGACAAUUCUGGACCCAUUCUACCAAUUCAGCAAGUACCCACCAUUCCAAAUGGACACAGCUCCUCACCCCCCAUGGCUUUUCAAGAUCUCCCAAACACAUUGGAUGAAAUCGAUGCAUUAUUAACUGAAGAAAGGUCAAGAGCUUCGUGCUUCACAGGACUGAAUCCUUCGGUAGUGGUUGAGGAGUACUCAAAAAGAGAAGUAGAAAUACAGCAGUUGACCGAAGAACUGCAGGGGAAGAAAGUUGAACUAGAUGAAUACAGGGAAAACAUUUCGCAGGUGAAAGAAAGGUGGCUGAACCCCUUAAAGGAGCUAGUAGAAAAAAUUAAUGAGAAAUUCAGCAACUUUUUUAGUUCCAUGCAGUGUGCUGGUGAAGUUGAUCUUCAUACAGAAAAUGAGGAAGAUUAUGAUAAAUAUGGAAUCCGGAUUAGAGUAAAAUUUCGCAGUAGUACUCAGCUGCAUGAAUUAACUCCUCAUCAUCAAAGUGGAGGUGAAAGAAGUGUUUCUACUAUGCUAUACUUGAUGGCACUUCAGGAGCUUAACAGAUGUCCGUUCAGAGUAGUCGAUGAAAUUAAUCAGGGUAUGGACCCAAUUAAUGAACGGAGAGUAUUUGAAAUGGUUGUGAACACUGCCUGUAAAGAGAACACAUCCCAGUAUUUCUUCAUCACACCGAAGCUUCUACAGAAUCUUCCUUAUUCUGAAAAGAUGACAGUGUUGUUUGUCUACAAUGGUCCUCAUAUGCUGGAGCCAAACCGAUGGAAUUUAAAGGCUUUUCAAAGGCGUCGGCGAAGGAUAACCUUUACUCAACCUCAGUGAAAGGAAAGAACAGGAGGGGCCUUUGGAGGUUUUUUUCCUUUAACUGUUUAUAUGUGUCGCUCGCUCAAGUGAAUAAAAGUUAGCAGAUUUAUUGAAAGAGAAAGAUUGGUUAUUUUUGGAAACCUGCUUUUAAAAACAAAUAGGUUGAUGAAGUAGAGACCACAGUGACUCUGGGACAUUUUCUAGUGAAAACUGAGUCUUCACUUUUGGUGGACAUUGCCUCGUUAGUUCUCUGUGAGCACGGGAUUGUUGUGUGCAGCUUUGUGCUGCCCCUCAGGUGUGGUGGCCCACAUCUAGCCCAGCGUUUAGGAGUAGGAGGCAGGAAGGUUAUCAGUUUUUGAGUGGUUUCAUGUGUCAUAACAGAAAAGGCUAUUUCCUGUUGCAAAUCGAAGGUAUGGCAGCGUGGGAUUUCAGUCAGAGUGUUUACUAACUACAACAGUGCUGAGUGCAGAACAUUGACUGAGAGAAUAAAGGCAACCCAGGAUUAGAAAUCCCACUUUUCUUCCAGUAUUAUAUCUAGUUCUUACAAACUAGUAUGGGAAUGGCUGCUUAAUAGAUAGUGAUUGACAGCAGAUCUGUUCAUUUCUUUGUUUAAAAAAAAUAAAGGUUCCCUUAUUUUCAUAGAAAAUAUGUUAUAGGUAACAUGUUAUAGGUUACUUCAAAGAAUUGGGAAAACAUAUGCAUGAGGCUUCAAAAUGACAGGAGGACUUUGAGAGGUCACAAGGUAAAGAUGAUACAGAAUGUGGCUCAGACACUGGCAGGGUGAGAUCAGGUGACAGGAGUUAGCGUAUAAGUGUUGUCGUAGGGCUUUGUGUGUGUUUGUUUGUUUGUUUGUUUGUUUGUUUAAUUUAAAGUUGAAUGUAUUUUACAUCUUACAUUUCUAGAAAGCAUUUUUAUAAUUACUUUUAGUAAAAUUUUUCUUAAAAUUUCAUAUGCGAGUUUUUACAAUUUGUAUUUGAAAUUUCUCAGUGCUAUAUAAAGAGCGAAGGCAAAGAAUUGAUUGAAAAAAGAAUCAAAUCAUGUUUUUAGAAUUUGUAGGUCCUUCCUUAUACCCAGUAUUUUAGAAAAAUCUCAUAUGAAUUGUUUUCUUCCACCUUGAAAAUAUUAAUUGAAAACCAUUUUUCUCUGAGAAUGCUAAUUAACAAUGCCAAACAAAUUCUGUUCUUUGAAAAAACUAAAUCUUGAAAGAAAAUAGAAAUGUCAUUGAAUAGUGGAAUGAACCAUAUCUUUGAUGAUACUGACAAAAUUAUUUUUUUGCUAGCCUGAACAAAGUUUGGGCUUUGUCUAUUAUCGUAAUAGCCAAUGAAAUUUACAUUCUUAUUUGGUUAAAAAAUAAUGGAACAUGAGUUUAUGUCCUCUCACUUAGACAUUUUCUCUUUUAGAAGUUGUAUUUCUUUUUAAAACUUGUAAAAGAACCCUCCCCUCUUAGACUAAGUAUCAUACAGGUAGUAUAAAGAUAUUUUAAUAACAUUUUUAUCAACAUGAACAAGUCAAAAAAUUAAAAACUUGGUAGCAUAUUAGUGAAGGCUAUUACUAAACAUUUGUGUUGUUGCUUGGGUUUCUGAUAUAAUAUCUUCACUGAUAUGUGUUUGAUGUAGUUUGGUUUUAUAUGAAAGAAAGACAUACUUAAAACUCACAUCAUCAGCAAUUCCAUUUCCGUUUACAUAUACCAAAAAUAAUUACAUAUCAUGCUAACAAGCUUUCAGAGAGCAAAAUUAAUGUUCUGUUUUAUAUUGAACUUUGGGCUGGGAAGGAUAAAUUAUGUAUCAUUCAUCAUAUUAAAAAUAGUCAAACAUAAUAUAAUGUCAUUUUCUGCAACUGUUGAUUUUUUAAAUUACAUUCAAAUUGUAAAAAUUCCAGGUAAAAGCCUGAUGUGAUAAAUAAAAUAUUUAAAACCUGACGGUUAAAAAUAUUUUUAAUAACUAAAUUUUUACAUUGAUUUGCCUAAGGUCAGUCUCUGUUAGGAAGUUUUUCAUGUUCAAAAAAAGAAAAAAAAGGGGGGGUUGUUUUGGUUUUUUUGUAAGAUUUAUUUAUUUUAUGUGAAUAAUUGUUUUGCCUAUAUGUAUGUCUGUAUACCUGGUACUUGCUAAGGCUGGAAGAGAGCAUCAGAUCUCCUAGGAGUGGAGUUAAAGGUAGUUUGAACUGGUAUAUGGGUGCUGGGUAUAGAAAUUGGGUCCUGUGGAAGAGCAUCCAGUAGACUUAACCACUGAGCCAUCUCUCCAGUUCCAAACAGAGAUUUCUUGCUGCUUUCCAAUAGCCUUGGACAUAAGCACGUCAGGGGCAUCACUUCAUUCUGGUUUGUGUAAAUGUAAUUGACUAAAACUAUGUUGUAAAUGCUACUUUGUUGGUAAUAAAUACGUAUUUUUCCAUUGGUA